UUAGUAGCGAAGUUCCUGAUGUCACACUGCCAAGAAAAGCUUCUAGUGAGAAAGUAACUGCCCGUACCGCAAACCGACACAGGUAGUUGAGGAGAGAAUCCUAAGGUGUGCGAGAGAACUCUCGUUAAGGAACUCGGCAAAAUGACCCCGUAACUUCGGGAGAAGGGGUGCUGACCGCAAGGUCAGCCGCAGUGAAUAGGCCCAAGCGACUGUUUAUCAAAAACACAGGUCUCUGCAAAAUCGAAAGAUGACGUAUAGGGGCUGACGCCUGCCCGGUGCUGGAAGGUUAAGAGGAGAGGUUAGCGCAAGCGAAGCUUUGAAUUGAAGCCCCAGUAAACGGCGGCCGUAACGAUAACGGUCCUAAGGUAGCGAAAUUCCUUGUCGGGUAAGUUCCGACCCGCACGAAAGGCGUAACGAUUUGGGCACUGUCUCAACGAGAGACUCGGUGAAAUUAUAGUACCAGUGAAGAUGCUGGUUACCCGCGACAGGACGGAAAGACCCCAUGGUGCUUUACUGCAGUUUGAUAUUGCGUGUUUGUAUCACAUGUACAGGAUAGGUAGGAGCCGAAGAUACCGGGACGCCAGUCUCGGAGGAGGCAACGGUGGGAUACUACCCUUGUGAUAUGACCACUCUAACCCGCUGCUCUUAGCGAGCAGGGAGACAGUGUCAGACGGGCAGUUUGACUGGGGCGGUCGCCUCCAAAAAUGUAACGGAGGCGCCCAAAGGUUCCCUCAGAAUGGUUGGAAAUCAUUCGUAGAGUGUAAAGGCAGAAGGGAGCUUGACUGCGAGACCUACAAGUCGAGCAGGGACGAAAGUCGGGCUUAGUGAUCCGGUGGUUCCGCAUGGAAGGGCCAUCGCUCAACGGAUAAAAGCUACCCUGGGGAUAACAGGCUUAUCUCCCCCAAGAGUUCACAUCGACGGGGAGGUUUGGCACCUCGAUGUCGGCUCAUCGCAUCCUGGGGCUGUAGUCGGUCCCAAGGGUUGGGCUGUUCGCCCAUUAAAGCGGUACGCGAGCUGGGUUCAGAACGUCGUGAGACAGUUCGGUCCCUAUCCGUCGCGGGCGUUGGAAAUUUGAGAGGAGCUGUCCUUAGUACGAGAGGACCGGGAUGGACACACCGCUGGUGUACCAGUUGUUCUGCCAAGAGCAUCGCUGGGUAGCUAUGUGCGGACGGGAUAAACGCUGAAAGCAUCUAAGCGUGAAGCCCCCCUCAAGAUGAGAUUUCCCAUCACUUUAAGUGAGUAAGACCCCUGAGAGAUGAUCAGGUAGAUAGGUUGGGAGUGGAAGUACAGCGAUGUAUGGAG
rnacentral:rRNA from 1 species